rnacentral:misc_RNA from 1 species
CAGCCGCGUAAUUCCAGCUCCAAUAGCGUAUAUUAGUGUUGUUGCGGUUAAAAAGCUCGUAGUUGAAUUUCGGGAUUGGGAUAUAUCGGUCAUGCCUUUAGGGGCAUGAAUCGGUGUGUAGCCAAUUUCUCACCUUCUGGUGAAUUGGGAUGCUCUUGGGUGUUUCAAUGAACUAGGACUUUUACUUUGAAAAAAAUAUAGUGUUUAAAGCGGGCAUUUUUGCUUGAAUACAUUAGCAUGGAAUAAUAAAAUAGGACGAUGGUUCUAUUUUGUUGGUUUUAGGACCACGUAAUGAUUAAUAGGGAUAGUUGGGGGGAUUAGUAUUCAAUAGUCAGAGGUGAAAUUCUUGGAGUGAUUGAGGACUAACUACUGCGAAAGCAUUUGCCAAGGAUGUUUUCAUUAAUCAAGAACGAAAGUUAGGGGAUCGAAGACGAUUUAUGUACGUCGUAGUCUUAACCAUAAACUAUGCCGACUAGGAAUCAGACAAAGUUCAUUUUUUAACGACUUGUUUGGUACCUUACG